rnacentral:rRNA from 1 species
AUGUACAAAUUUCAUUCCUCAAAUGUCCGCGGACGUGUCCGGUCCGUGUUCGAUUUUUGCUUACACCCAGCCGCAACUCCUCCUUUGACACCUCAUUUUCCCGGGCAUUUCAGCGAGCGUGUUAUGGGCGCCACCACCAGGGUGUGGAGAGAACGAGGAGAGCAUGCAAGCCAUCGGCUCCGGCGGCCAGCCAGCACGCCGGUGAGAGGUGCCCUAUACAGGGAGAUAUUCAACUUCCGUUGGAUGAACAUUAUUUGGUGCCCUAUACCUAAGGGGGGAAUACCGGGGCAGAGUGCUGCAUGGAUGGGGCCCGCUAUAAGUGCUGACCUGGCAAACAAAACAUGA